GCAACUGCAUUGUUGUGAAAAUUGUGAAUGUUUAAUUUAGUCUUUUUACAUGAUUAUAGGUUUCCUUGAAGUUUCUUGACUGGUGACAUUGUUAUCUAGAUAUGGUCACAUGAAGGCUGAAUUUGAGUUAUUAUAAAGAAGAUAUAUUGGCUCUGAUAGUGAUAAACGGCUAAUACUCAUUUUGUCUACACCUCUUCUUGCCAGAUCUAAAUAGACCUCGCUUUUAUUAUUGUUCCAAUUACAUUGGACAGCUGAUAGAUUUGAAUCUUGACGAGUAGGAAAGUUGGCCAUGGCAACGUGCUAUGCCUUAAUCUGUAUGUAAUCUCCUUAAUGUGUCAAUGGUGAACAUGGAAGAAAGUCUGUUAGCUAUGUCCAAAUAAGGUUCCUCGAAGAUCUGUUUUCAUCAAUCUGAGCUGUAUCCCUUUCAAUUUGAUUUGAACUAUCAAAUUUGGAUAUCAAUUCUCUUCAGCUCAUAGGGGCAGACAAGAUGUGCUUAUCCUUAAUCUUUGGAGAAGCGAAGAAAAAAAAUAUGAUGAUGGUAUUAAAGAAUGCACAAAAGCAUUGGAGCUAAACCUUAACUACAUAAGUGUUUUGCUAAGAAGAGCAGAGGUGUAUGAAAAGUUGUAACAAUUUGAAGAGACUAUAGCAGAUAUGACAAAGGUUUUGGAAGUUGACCCAUCAUAUGAUCAAGCUAGAAGACAGAUUGUUCGCUUGAAGCCAUUAGCAGAUGAAAAACGUCAAAAGAUGAAGGAAGAAAUGAUUGUUGACCAUUGGUGGUAUGAACUUCUUUGGGUAGUUGCUGUUAAAUGAUUCUUUUUUGCUCUUCACGUGUAAAUAUAGGAAUGCUUCAUUUUUGCAAAAGAAAAUGUGUUCUAGGGGAGAAGAGUGGAGGAGGAGGAGAGGAUCUGGAAUUUUUGCAAAAGUAAAAGGAGCUAGUGUGAGCUGAGGUGGCUAGUGCAUUCGGAAGAUUCUGGAGGAAGGGGAAGGUUAAUGUGAGCAGAUAAAGCUUUGCUUCAGGUGCUGCUAAAGAAUAGAUGCUUGUGGAAGUGGACAAACGAUUACUGAGAUUAGCACAAGGAUGGUUUAAGGGAAAUGUAAGCUGAGGGAAAUUGGAAAUUGCAAUUCUGGUCAAUUUGGAAUGAGCGCUGACAAUUUCAAAGCUGUGAAAGAUCCAAACACUGGUUCAUAUUCUAUUCCAUUUCAGUGCUAAUAUCUUUUACAAACUUCACAUAUAUUCUUUAGUUUCUGGAGCUAUGGAUCAAAUGGACUGAAAUCUUAAAGAGGAUGAAGCACGUUUCCUCACAGUG